GGAUGUGAGGGUGAUCUGGCUAUGACAUCUGUCACUCCAUUGAUCACCAGGGUUGAUUCAGCUGAUCUGGCUGGCCAGGCGGGUAUCCCCGUCCUCCCUCACCACUCCGUGUGUGUCCCUCCUGAAGCUGCGUGCUCGGCCGAAGAGGAUGACCUUCCCCAAUAGAGGCAUUCCAUUUAUCAAUCAAGGGUAUAUGGUAGGUGCGCUCCCCUGCUAGAAUCUCCAAACAAGCUCAAGGUCCAUUUGUAGGAGAAUGUAGGGUAGUAAAGCUUCCAGAACAUGAGCCAGCAGUGUGUGCAGGUGUCC
rnacentral:snRNA from 1 species